CAGCAGCAGCCACGGUAGUACGUAGGUGGCAAGCGUUGUCCGGAAUUAUUGGGCGUAAAGGGCUCGCAGGCGGUUUCUUAAGUCUGAUGUGAAUGCCCCCGGCUCAACCGGGGAGGGUCAUUGGAAACUGGGAAACUUGAGUGCAGAAGAGGAGAGUGGAAUUCCACGUGUAGCGGUGAAAUGCGUAGAGAUGUGGAGGAACACCAGUGGCGAAGGCGACUCUCUGGUCUGUAACUGACGCUGAGGAGCGAAAGCGUGGGGAGCGAACAGGAUUAGAUACCCCUGUAGUCCCUGUCUCUUAUAC
rnacentral:rRNA from 1 species